rnacentral:misc_RNA from 1 species
AAGACUAUAGACCUGCGGAGUACCUGCGGAAGGAUCAUUACCGAGUACCGGGGCCUUCGGGUUCCUACUCCCACCCUAUGUUGACUUUAAAUGUUGCUUUGGCGGACCGGUGGUCUCACCGCUGGCCUAGGCUGGAGAGCGUCCGCCAGAGGAUUUUAAACUCUGUUUAACGGUGAAUUCUGAGUCUUGAUAAAUUGAAUCAAAACUUUUAGCAACGGAUCUCUAGAUCGGAAGAGCACA